GCCUACUAUCUGCCCCUUUAUUGCUGUGACCUUCCAAUCUCUAGCAAUGAUUCCAAUCGAACAUGUUGCUGCCACUCAGUUCUGGUGUCAGUGCAUCUUAACAGAUAAGCUCUUGGAACUCACUCCUUGCAGAACUGAGGCCCUGGCCCUGUGACUCAGUGAUUUUGUGAAGCAAGGCCCAGCAAGAACACCUGCCUGCCUCCAGAGACUGAGGCAUAAAAGGACCAUGCCUGUGGGAGCCUCAGCUAUAGAG
rnacentral:lncRNA from 11 species